GACGAACGCUGGCGGCGUGCUUAACACAUGCAAGUCGAACGGAAAGGCCCUGCUUUUGUGGGGUGCUCGAGUGGCGAACGGGUGAGUAACACGUGAGUAACCUGCCCUUGACUUUGGGAUAACUUCAGGAAACUGGGGCUAAUACCGGAUAGGAGCUCCUGCUGCAUGGUGGGGGUUGGAAAGUUUCGGCGGUUGGGGAUGGACUCGCGGCUUAUCAGCCUGUUGGUGGGGUAGUGGCUUACCAAGGCUUUGACGGGUAGCCGGCCUGAGAGGGUGACCGGCAGGACGAGGCGGGGCAGACGGGCGGAGAGCGGGAGGGGGGAGGGAGGGGGAGAAGUGGCGGGGCGGGGGGCGGCCUGAGGCCGCCGUGCGGGGUGGUGAGUGGCGGCCGGCGGGUUGUCACCGGGUGUCGCCGGGGACGAAGGGGGGGGGGGGGUGAUGGGUAAAGAAGCACCGACAAACUGCGUGCCAGCGGGCGAGGUAAGAGGAGGAAGCCCACAGGGCUGAAC
rnacentral:rRNA from 1 species